UAGGGAAUAUUGCGCAAUGGGCGAAAGCCUGACGCAGCGACACCGUGUGUAGGAUGAAGAUCUUCGGAUUGUAAACUACUGUCAGUUGAAGAAGAAGGUAUGAAAGUUAAGAGCUUGAGUAUUGACGGUAUUCAACGAGGAAGUCUCGGCUAACUCCGUGCCAGCAGCCGCGGUAAGACGGAGGAGGCAAGCAUUGUCCGGAAUUAUUGGGCGUAAAGAACACGUAGGCGGUUUUUCAAGUCAAAUGUGAAAACCUUGGGCUUAACUCGAGGAUUGCAUUUGAAACUGGAAAGCUAGAGUACAGUAGAGGAAAGUGGAAUUCCUGGUGUAGCGGUGGAAUGCGCAGAUAUCAGGAAGAACACCAGUGGCGAAAGCGGCUUUCUGGACUGUUACUGACGCUGAGGUGUGAAAGCUAGGGGAGCGAACAG
rnacentral:rRNA from 1 species